rnacentral:rRNA from 1 species
UCCAGCUCCAAUAGCGUAUAUUAAAGUUGUUGCAGUUAAAAAGCUCGUAGUUGGAUUUCGGAAGGUCCUUAGYAAUCCGCCCCUUCGGGGAGCGGGUUGCUGGCCUCCUAUGUUCCUAACGGYCCUCRUCCGCGAGGGYGGGGAAUCAACCGCUAGGAUCGUUUACUUUGAGGAAAUUAGAGUGUUCAAAGCAGGCGUAACUCGCCUCCGAAUACGUUAGCAUGGGAUAAUGGAAUACGACUUCGGUCUUGUUUCGUUGGUUUCGCUUGGCUGAAGUAAUGAUUGAUAGGGACAGUUGGGGGCAUUAGUAUUUAGUUGUCAGAGGUGAAAUUCUAGGAUUUACUAAAGACUGACCAAUGCGAAAGCAUUUGCCAAGGAUGUUUUCAUUAAUCAAGAACGAAAGUAGGGGGAUCGAAGACGAUCAGAUACCGUCGUAGUCUCUACCGUAAACUAUGCCGACCAGGGAUCCGGAGAGUUUGCAUGGAUGACUCCCCGGGCACCUUGUGAGAAAUCAUAAGUGUUUGGGUUUUGGGGGGAGUAUGGUCGCAAGGCUGAAACUAAAGGAAUGACGGAACGCCCCCMGGUGC